UACAGAGGGUGCGAGCGUUAAUCGGAAUUACUGGGCGUAAAGCGUGCGUAGACGGUUAUUUAAGUCGGGUGUGAAAGCCCCGGGCUCAACCUGGGAAUUGCAUUCGAGACUGAAUAGCUAGGGUACGGUAGGGGGCAGAGGGAAUUUCCGGUGGAGCGGUGAAAUGCGUAGAGAUCGGAAAGAACACCAACGGCGAAAGCACUCUGCUGGGCCGACACUGACACUGAGAGACGAAAAGCUAGGGGAGCGAAUGGG
rnacentral:rRNA from 1 species